rnacentral:rRNA from 1 species
CCUACGGGUGGCAGCAGUGAGGAAUAUUGGUCAAUGGGCGCAAGCCUGAACCAGCCAAGUAGCGUGAAGGAUGACUGCCCUACGGGUUGUAAACUUCUUUUGUAAGGGAAUAAAGUGGGCCACGUGUGCAUUUUUGUAUGUACUUUAUGAAUAAGGAUCGGCUAACGCAGUGCCAGCAGCCGCGGUAAUACGGAGGGUCCGAGCGUUAUCCGGAUUUAUUGGGUUUAAAGGGAGCGUAGAUGGGUUUUUAAGUAAGUUGUGAAAGUUGGCGGCUCAACCUGAAGAGUGCAAUUGAUACUGGCAGCCUUGAGUACAGUGGAGGUAGGCGGAAUUCGUGGUGUAGCGGUGAAAUGCUUAGAUAUCACGAAGAACCCCGAUUGCGAAGGCAGCCUACUAAACUGCCACUGACACUGAUGCUCGAAAGCGUGGGUAUCAAACAGGAUUAGAUACCCCAGUAGUC